UACGUAGGAUGCAAGCGUUGUCCGGAUUUACUGGGCGUAAAGCGCGCGCAGGCGGCACUCUAAGUACGUCGUGAAAUAUCCCGGCUCAACCGGGAGGGUGCGCUAUAGACUGUGGGACUAGAGUGUGGGAGAGGAAAGUGGAAUUCCUGGUGUAGCGGUGAAAUGCGUAGAUAUCAGGAGGAACACCGGUGGUGUAAACGGCUUUCUGGACCAUAAACUGACGCUG
rnacentral:rRNA from 1 species